GAUGAACGCUGGCGGCGUGCCUAACACAUGCAAGUCGAACGCUGAAGCACAGCUUUUGUUGGGUGGAUGAGUGGCGAACGGGUGAGUAACGCGUGAGUAACCUGCUCCCUUCUUUGGGAUAACGCCCGGAAACGGGAGCUAAUACUGGACAUUCACUGUACUUCGCGUGGGGGCUGGUGGAAAUGGUUUUUCUGGUGGGGGAUGGGCUCGCGGCCUAGCAGCUUGGUGGUGGGGUUAUGGCCUACCAAGGCUUUGACGGGUAGACGGCCUGAGGGGGUGGCCGGUCACAUAGGGACGGCGAUCAGGCCCAGACUGCGACGGGAGGCAGAAGUGGGGAAGAUGGCGCAAUGGGGGCAAGCGUGAUGCAGCGACGACGCGGAAGGGAUGGAGGCCUGCGGGUUGUGAACCUCUUUGGGUCAUGGUGAAGCCGCAAAAAUGGUUGUGGUGACGGUAGUGGAUAAAGAAGCGCCGGCUAACUACGUG
rnacentral:rRNA from 1 species